ACCUACCAAGGCGACGAUCCGUAGCGGGUCUGAGAGGAUGAUCCGCCACACUGGGACUGAGACACGGCCAGACUCCUACGGAGGCAGCAGUGGGGAAUUUUGGACAAUGGCGAAAGCCUGAUCCAGCCAUGCCGCGUGAGUGAAGAAGGCCUUCGGGUUGUAAAGCUCUUUCGGUGGGGAAGAAAUUGCAUGGGCUAAUACCCUGUGUAGAUGACGGUACCUGGAGAAGAAGCACCGGCUAACUACGUGCCAGCAGCCGCGGUAAUACGUAGGGUGCGAGCGUUAAUCGGAAUUACUGGGCGUAAAGCGUGCGCAGGCGGUUUGGUAAGUCAGAUGUGAAAUCCCCGGGCUCAACCUGGGAACUGCAUUUGAGACUGCCAAGCUGGAGUUUGGCAGAGGGGGGUGGAAUUCCACGUGUAGCAGUGAAAUGCGUAGAGAUGUGGAGGAACACCGAUGGCGAAGGCAGCCCCCCUGGGCCAAUACUGACGCUCAUGCACGAAAGCGUGGGGAGC
rnacentral:rRNA from 1 species